UCUCAGACUGCUCUGCUAGCAAUCAGCAAGACUCUGUGGGCGUAGUACCCUCCGAGCCAGGUGCGGGAUAUUAUCUCGUGGUGCACCGUUUUUUAAGCCCGUCGGAAAAGUGCGGUAUUCCGGGUGGGAGUGACCCGAUUUUCCAGGUGCCAUCCGUCACGCCUUUCUUUGACUCAGAAAGGGAACUCCCUGACCCCUUGCGCUUCCCAAGUGAGGCAAUGCCUCCCCUGCUUCGGCUCGUGCAUGGUGCGCGCACCCACUGACCUGCGCCCAUUGUCUGGCCCUCCCUAGUGAGAUGAACCCGGUACCUCAGAUGGAAAUGCUGAAAUCACCUGUCUUCUGUGUCGCUCACGCUGGGAGCUGUAGACCGGAGCUGUUCCUAUUCGGCCAUCUUGGCUCCUCCCGGGUCCUAUUUCUUAAUAGAAGCAGAUACAGGAAUACAUAUGCAGAUUUGUUACAUGGGAAUACUGCAUGAUGCUGAGGUUUGGAGUACAGAUCCUGUCAACCUGGUAUUGAGCAAACUCGUCGUAUAAAUUCAAUCAAUGACCUGGAUUGAAAACAGCUGUUCUGGGAUAUACUGGUCGGCCUUUUCUUAAAGCCUGGAGAUUGCAGCGGUUUCUUGGUUUGACAUCAUUUUUUCCAAGCG
rnacentral:lncRNA from 10 species